rnacentral:rRNA from 1 species
AUGGUUGGUAGGUCAUGGUUUCACGUUCCGCUGCAGAUUAAGAAGGCUCUCAAGGGUCUGAGAGUUGAGGUAUCCCACCGAGGAGAGGUGCGCAGGAAAUACCGCAUCAAUGGCUUGACAAAGCAGUCUAGCAGAGAUUUGAGGUUCAAAUUAUCGACCGUCGAAACCAAGACUGUGAGGGACUACUUUCGAGAAACCUGCAAGCUGCAACUAAGUUACGAUUUUCUCCCCUGCCUGCAAGUUCGUACAGAACAAAAACCGAACUAUCUUCCAAUGGAGGUUUGUGCAUUGGAGGCCAAGUUGCUGCUGUGGUGGUAUGGCAAGACUGAACUCAACUCAUCGGCUGUGGCAAAAUGA